rnacentral:rRNA from 1 species
GCAGGUUGAAGCGCGGGUAAGACCGCGUGGAGGACCGAACCCACCUGGGUUGAAAACCGGGGGGAUGACUUGGGGCUAGGGGUGAAAGGCCAAUCAAAUUCCGUGAUAGCUGGUUCUCUCCGAAAUGCAUUUGGGUGCAGCGUCGGGUCAUUACGUCCCGGGGGUAGAGCUACUGGAUGCUUGCGGGCCCGUAUCGGGUACCAACAGCAACCAAACUCCGAAUACCGGUGACGCGUAUCCCGGCAGUGAGUCGGCGGGGGAUAAGCUUCGUCGUCGAAAGGGAAACAGCCCAGACCGUCGUCUAAGGUCCCGAAGCGUGUGCUAAGUGGGAAAGGAUGUGGAGUCGCAUAGACAGCCAGGAGGUUGGCUCAGAAGCAGCCACCCUUGAAAGAGUGCGUAACAGCUCACUGGUCUAGUGGUUCCGCGCCGACAAUGUAGCGGGGCUCAAGCACACCACCGAAGACGCGGCAGUGUUUUGUACUGGGUAGGAGAGCGUCCCAUGAGGGGCGAAGCGGCCGUGUGAACGCGCCGUGGACUUCAUGGGAGUGAGAAUGCAGACAUGAGUAGCGAGAGACGGGUGAAGAUCCCGUCCGCUGGAUGACCAAGGGUUCCAGGGCCACGUUCAUCGUCCCUGGGUGAGUCGGGUCCUAAGGCGAGGCCGACAGGCGUAGUCGAAUGGAUGAACGGGUCGAUAUUCCCGUACCGGCUUUCAGCCGCCAAAACCGAGGCUUGGAGUACUAACCUCCGGGUCCGGGCUUACUGCUCCUUCGGGGGCGGGAUGCCCUGGCCUGUUGGGACCGAUCCUUGUAGUAGGUCAGCGCAGGAGUGACGCAGAAGGGUAGCCGGCCGCGGAGGUGGUCUUCCGUGGUCAAGCACGCAGGGCGUGGGACAGGCAAAUCCGUCCCGCAUGGGUCCGAGGUGCGAUGAUGGGGGCCUUAUGGCCCGAUAUCCGGUGAUCCCGGCUGCCGAGAAAAGCUUCGGCGUCAGGCUCGAAGCCGCCCGUACCCCAAACCGACACUGGUGGUCAGGUAGAGAAUACCAAAGCGAUCGAGCGAAUCCUGGUCAAGGAACUCGGCAAAUCACUCCCGUUCCUUCGGUUUAAGGGAGACCCCCGAUGGUGAACACACUUGCUGUGGGAGCUUUUGGGGGUGGCACAGACCAGGGGGUAGCGACUGUUUACCAAAAACACAGGUGCAUGCGAAGGCGCAAGCCGCUGUAUAUGCACUGACGCCUGCCCGGUGCCGGAAGGUUAAGAGGAUCCGUCAGCCUUCGGGUGAAGCGGUGAAUUCAAGCCCCGGUAAACGGCGGUGGUAACUAUAACCAUCCUAAGGUAGCGAAAUUCCUUGUCGGGUAAGUUCCGACCUGCACGAAUGGCGUAACGACUUCCCCACUGUCUCGACCAGGAGCUCGGCGAAAUUGCAGUACGAGUAAAGAUGCUCGUUAAGCGCAGAAGGACGAAAAGACCCCGGGACCUUUACUAUACCUUGGUAUUGGCAUUCGGUGUGGAUUGUGUAGCAUAGGCGGGAGGCCGAGAGGCGCGGUCGCCAGAUCGCGCGGAGCCGUAAGGUGAAAUACCGCUCUGUUCGCAUUGGAUGUCUAACCUCGAACAGUCAUCCUGUUCAGGGACAGUGCCUGGCGGGUAGUUUAACUGGGGCGGUUGCCUCCCAAAGAGUAACGGAGGCGCCCAAAGGUCCGCUCAGCCCGGUUGGCAAUCGGGUGGCGAGUGCAAGUGCACAAGCGGGCUUGACUGCGAGGACGACGGUCCGAGCAGGGACGAAAGUCGGGACUAGUGAUCCGGUGCCGGUGUACGGACGCGGCAUCGCUCAACGGAUAAAAGGUACCCCGGGGAUAACAGGCUGAUCAUUCCCAAGAGUCCAUAUCGACGGGAUGGUUUGGCACCUCGAUGUCGGCUCGUCGCAUCCUGGGGCUGGAGCAGGUCCCAAGGGUUCGGCUGUUCGCCGAUUAAAGCGGCACGCGAGCUGGGUUCAGAACGUCGUGAGACAGUUUGGUCUCUAUCCUCUGCGCUCGUUGGAAUGCUGAGGAGGCCUGCCCAUAGUACGAGAGGACCUGGGUGGACGAACCUCUGGUAUGCCGGUUGUC